CUGAGGCUGGGUUCGAGGCCCGGUGGUUGGGAGGCGAGGGGCGGGCGGGAACUCGGGGCUCACAGGGAGUGGCCAGGAGCCCGGGAGGGCCGGAGGCGGGUGCAGAGGCUGCGGCGCCGGGUGCAGGGCCGAGAAGGGGCUGAAGGUGACCCCUGUGAAAGGGCCGUUCGACCCCCAAAGGGGUCGCGACCCACAGGUUGAGAACCGCUGCCUUAGAGCUUCCCCAGGGUGUCCAGCGCACAGAUCUAACAACGGAGGCCCAGAAGAGGCCAGGCUACAGCAAGGCAUGCUGGAGGACAUGGCCCAUACCAGUUUCAAAUCAGACUGUCUGUUUGACCCCAUACAUGCUGUAAGCAGGCACCAGCUUGGCCCAGAGCCCACACCCUCUAAACCGUGGCUGAUUGACCCAUUCGUGCCCUGGCAGAUGAGACUCACCAUCUUGCUGAAGUGGUAUUUGCAGUAGCCGCAGUACUUGACAUUGUCAACCUCCA